rnacentral:lncRNA from 1 species
UUAAGGGAGUUUGCUUCUCAGUUUCAAAGUAAUUAACUUUUCAAAACAUUAGUUUAUAUUGACAGAGGAUUAAUUAAGGAAUCAAAAGAGCAAAAAAAUAUAUAUAGGUCAUCGUGCUUGUUUUUGAGAUAUUAGCCAUGGAAAUUUUGGCGGGAAAAUAUUCUCUCUUGACUUUUCAUAGCUUUAUCACAAGUUAAAGUUCUCAAAAACUAUUAAAAAAUAAUUAAAAUUUUAUAAGACUUUAACAGAUGGCUUAUCAUCAUACAUGUAAAAGAUUUACAAAAAGAAAAAUGGGGGUCACCGGGCAACUUUUUUUCAAGGCAUUCAAAUGGAUAAAACCAGAGGAUUCCGAAAAUCUGACAAAAAAUCCAAAACAUGAUAAGCCAGCUUCCUUAACAGCAUUAUGAGUUAAAAUAUUUAUUUAUACAAAUAUAAAACCUCUUUACAAUAUUUUGAAAAAUUUAAGGCGUUUAGUUUCAUUAAGAGUUUGGAAGGGAAGGUUUAUUCUUUAUUUAUUUCACACAUUAUUCCUUAUUAAUUAUUUUGUGAGCCUCAUUCUCUCUAAUCUUUAUUUCUUGGUCAAAUUUGUCUUUAUUCUUUGUUUUGUUAGCCAUUUAUUUAGCUCAUUAUGUUUAUUCUGUAAACUCCAUCCAGAGCCUUGUACAUACAAUAGAUCAACAAUACAAUAAUUGAGGACAUGUCUAUUAUCUUUAUUCUUCUAUAAAAUUAACAUUUCUUUAUUA